GAAGCUGACCAGACAGUCGCCGCUUCGUCGUCGUCCUUUCGGGGAGACGGGCGGAGGGGAGGAAAGUCCGGGCUCCAUAGGGCAGGGUGCCAGGUAACGCCUGGGGGGGGAACCCACGACCAGUGCAACAGAGAGCAAACCGCCGAUGGCCCACGCAAGUGGGAUCAGGUAAGGGUGAAAGGGUGCGGUAAGAGCGCACCGCGCGGCUGGUAACAGUCCGUGGCACGGUAAACUCCACCCGGAGCAAGGCCAAAUAGGGGUUCAUAAGGUACGGCCCGUACUGAACCCGGGUAGGCUGCUUGAGCCAGUGAGCGAUUGCUGGCCUAGAUGAAUGACUGUCCACGACAGAACCCGGCUUAUCGGUCAGUUUCACUU
rnacentral:RNase_P_RNA from 3 species